rnacentral:lncRNA from 1 species
CGGUACAGAGUCAAUGUGGAGGCUAUAUACAGGGGGUACCGGUACAGAGUCAAUGUGGAGGCUAUUUACAGGGGGUACCGGUACAGAGUCAAUGUGGAGGCUAUAUACAGGGGGUACCGGUACAGAGUCAAUGUGGAGGCUAUAUACAGGGGGUACCGGUAAAGAGUCAAUGUGGAGGCUAUAUACAGGGGGGUACCGUACAGAGUCAAUGUGGAGGCUAUAUACAGGGGGUACCGGUACAGAGUCAAUGUGGAGGCUAUAUACAGGGGGUACCGGUACAGAUUCAAUGUGGAGGCUAUAUACAGGGGGGUACCGGUACAGAGUGAAUGUGGAGGCUAUAUACAGGGGGUACCGGUAAAGAGUCAAUGUGGAGGCUAUAUACAGGGGGUACCAGUACAGAGUCAAUGUGGAGGCUAUAUACAGGGGUUACGGUACAGAGUCAAUGUGGAGGCUAUAUACAGGGGGGUACCGGUACAGAGUCAAUGUGGAGGCUAUAUACAGGGGGUACCGGUACAGAGUCAAUGUGGAGGCUAUAUACAGGGGGUACCGGUACAGAGUCAAUGUGGAGUAUAGAUACAGGGGGGUGCCAGUACAGAGUCAAUGUGGAGGC